rnacentral:lncRNA from 1 species
GUUCUUGUGACAUGUAUAAAAUCCUCACAGGAUUAUGAAGGAUGGAGGAUUGAGCUAUUUAAAAUAUAACUUACAGGAAGAGUAACCCCAGAAAGUUAGAGGACUUUGAGUUGGAGGCAUCUUCUUAUCAGUCAAACAUCAUAUAAGGACAGCUUGUCCUUUGGCCAGCAGCUGCUUCUACUACUUCAGGGAUGAGUAGUAUCUCUCUUGCUUGAGUCUAGGUCACACUAAUGGCAUUAACAGAGCUAGGACACACCACCUUGCUCAGAAGGGAAUAAAAGCCUCCCCAGCAGUGCACCCUGCACUUUCCUCCUCAGGAAAUUCUUGUCUUGUAGCUCGCAGUGCCUGGCAAGCCUGGUAAUGUGUCUGUAAAUUUCAGCUGACAGAAACGCAUCAGAGUUAAACAGACACCAUACAACUGUGGAGACUAAUACAACAAACACGCAUGAGCCCACCUGGAAUUUAAAACUGGAGCCAUUUUCACGUGAUGCUCUUGACUUAUGCAUAGGAUGCCUUGGUCUCUGUCCAUUACUUCCUACAGAUUGAUCAAAACUGAGGACCUCGUCAGGGCAAUGAUGAGCUAAAAAGCAUGGCAGUGUCUCCUCUGGUGUC